AUAGAAAAAAAAAAACAAUAAAUUUUGGGGGUCCUCCAUACUUAGAACUGAAACUCAAAAAAUUUUUUUUCAUCAUACCCAUACGUGUCUUUAAAAAUUAUAUUGAGGUUUCUAAUAUCAUUUUUUUCUAAACUGAAUAGUUUGCGCGAGAGACACUUCCAAAGUGGUAAAAUGUGUGUGCCCCCCCCCUCCUGUAACUUCUAAAAUAAGAGAAUGAUAAAACUAAAAAAAAUAUAUGAUGUACAUUACCAUGCAAACUUCCACCAAAAAUUGGUUUGAACGAGAUCUAGUAAGUAGUUUUUUUUAAUACGUCAUAAA